rnacentral:rRNA from 1 species
UACAGAGGUCCCAAGCGCUGUUCGGAUUCACUGGGCGUAAAGGGUGCGUAGGUGGUGAGAUAAGUCGGAUGUGAAAUCUCCAAGCUCAACUUGGAAACUGCAUUGGAAACUAUCUUGCUAGAGGGUUUGAGGGGGGACUGGGAUACUUGGUGUAGCAGUGAAAUGCGUAGAUAUCAAGUGGAACACCAGUGGCGAAGGCGAGUCCCUGGAAAAUACCUGACACUGAGGCACGAAAGCUAGGGGAGCAAACAGG